rnacentral:rRNA from 1 species
CCUACGGGAGGCUGCAGUGGGGAAUAUUGGACAAUGGGGGGAACCCUGAUCCAGCCAUGCCGCGUGUGUGAAGAAGGCCCUCGGGUUGUAAAGCACUUUCAGUGAGGAAGAACGCCUGGUGGUUAAUACCCAUCAGGAAAGACAUCACUCACAGAAGAAGCACCGGCUAACUCCGUGCCAGCAGCCGCGGUAAUACGGAGGGUGCGAGCGUUAAUCGGAAUUACUGGGCGUAAAGCGCGCGUAGGUGGCUUGAUAAGCCGGUUGUGAAAGCCCCGGGCUCAACCUGGGAACGGCAUCCGGAACUGUCAAGCUAGAGUGCCGGAGAGGAAGGUAGAAUUCCCGGUGUAGCGGUUAAAUGCGUAGAGAUCGGGAGGAAUACCAGUGGCGAAGGCGGCCUUCUGGACUGACACUGACACUGAGGUGCGAAAUCGUGGGUAGCAAACAGGAUUAGAUACCCUUGUAGUC